rnacentral:rRNA from 1 species
AUUGAACGCUGGCGGCAUGCUUUACACAUGCAAGUCGAACGGUAACAGGUUAAGCUGACGAGUGGCGAACGGGUGAGUAAUGCAUCGGAACGUGCCCGAUCGUGGGGGAUAACGCAGCGAAAGCAGCGCUAAUACCGCAUACGAUCUGAGGAUGAAAGCGGGGGACCGUAAGGCCUCGCGCGAUCGGAGCGGCCGAUGUCAGAUUAGGUAGUUGGUGGGGUAAAGGCCCACCAAGCCGACGAUCUGUAGCUGGUCUGAGAGGACGACCAGCCACACUGGGACUGAGACACGGCCCAGGCUCCUACGGGAGGCAGCAGUGGGGAAUUUUGGACAAUGGGCGAAAGCCUGAUCCAGCGAUGCCGCGUGCAGGAAGAAGGCCUUCGGGUUGUAAACUGCUUUUGUACGGAGCGAAAAGGUCCUUUCUAAUACAAGGGGCUCAUGACGGUACCGUAAGAAUAAGCACCGGCUAACUACGUGCCAGCAGCCGCCGUAA